rnacentral:rRNA from 1 species
UACAGAGGUCUCAAGCGUUGUUCGGAUUCAUUGGGCGUAAAGGGCGCGUAGGCUGCGGGGCAAGUCGGGUGUGAAAUCUCAGAGCUCAACUCUGAAACUGCAUUCGAUACUGCCGUGCUUGAGGACUGGAGAGGAGACUGGAAUUUACGGUGUAGCGGUGAAAUGCGUAGAUAUCGUAAGGAAGACCAGUGGCGAAGGCGGGUCUCUGGACAGUUCCUGACGCUGAGGCACGAAGGUCAGGGGAGCAAACGGG